rnacentral:rRNA from 1 species
UAAACGCUGGCGGCGUGCUUAACACAUGCAAGUCGAACGGAGUAUCUCGUCCCGAGGAUUGACGAAGCUUGCUCUGAUUGACUCAUUGAGAUACUUAGUGGCGGACGGGUGAGUAACGCGUGGGUAACCUGCCUCACACAGGGGGAUAACAGUUGGAAACGACUGUUAAUACCGCAUAAGCGCACAGCUUCGCAUGAAGCAGUGUGAAAAACUCCGGUGGUGUGAGAUGGACCCGCGUCUGAUUAGCUAGUUGGUGAGGUAACGGCCCACCAAGGCAACCGAUCAGUAGCCGGCCUGAGAGGGUGUACGGCCACAUUGGGACUGAGACACGGCCCAAACUCCUACGGGAGGCAGCAGUGGGGAAUAUUGUACAAUGGGGGAAACCCUGAUCCAGCGAGCCCCGCGUGAGUGAUGAAGUAUCUCGGUAUGUAAAGCUCUAUCAGCAGGGAAGAAAUUGACGGUACCUGACUAAGAAGCACCGGCUAAAUACGUGCCAGCAGCUGC